GAUUAACGCUGGCGGUAUGCAUAACACAUGCAAGUCGAACGAACCUUCGGGUCAGUGGCGAACGGGUGAGUAAUGCAUCGGAACGUGCCCAGUCGUGGGGGAUAACGCAGCGAAAGCUGUGCUAAUACCGCAUACGAUCUAUGGAUGAAAGCGGGGGACCGUAAGGCCUCGCGCGAUUGGAGCGGCCGAUGUCAGAUUAGCUAGUUGGUGGGGUAAAGGCCCACCAAGGCGACGAUCUGUAGCUGGUCUGAGAGGACGACCAGCCACACUGGGACUGAGACACGGCCCAGACUCCUACGGGAUGCAGCAGUGGGGAAUUUUGGACAAUGGGCGCAAGCCUGAUCCAGCAAUGCCGCGUGCAGGAAGAAGGCCUUCGGGUUGUAAACUGCUUUUGUACGGAACGAAACGGUCUGGGUUAAUACCCUGGGCUAAUGACGGUACCGUAAGAAUAAGCACCGGCUAACUACGUGCCAGCCGCCGCAGUAA
rnacentral:rRNA from 1 species